CUCUUUUGCCCAAGUUUUCUUGUC
rnacentral:siRNA from 1 species